UGUAAGAUAUUUAAAAUAGGAUAAUCACUUUAAGAUAUCAUAUGGAGCAUAAGGACUGCCUUGGGCUUGCAUCUAGUCCUUAAGUUUGUUUUAUUAUAUAGCAAGUAUAUUAGUAAUGACAUAAGCAAUGUUAUUAUUAUUAAUAUUACUUAAUGACCGGACAUAAGCAAUGUGGAUUGACUUUUUUAUGAUACGCUGUACUAAUAAAGGAAAGCUUCAAUAAAUUUCUUUACUAGCUUUAAUUCAUUGAGCGGUUUUCUAAUUCCCAAGACACCAGAGUCCGUUUUAUAGUUUCGUAAUUCCCUGAUUCCCGUUUAUCCUGUCGAAUUUCUGUUUCUUUUUUUCUGUUCUUUUCCCCCCGUACAUAUGAUUAAUAUUACGUAUUAAUAAUAAUUCAUAAUUGCUCGAUCCCCCCCCCCGUUACUCGUUCCUCCAUUCCCCGUUCUCCGUUCCCUCCAUUCCCUGUUCCUCCAUUCCCCGUUCCCCCAUUCCGCGUUUUUCGACGGAAAAGACGAUCUUUUUGCCUGUAUUCAAUCUACAAACACUAAAAACAAGUUUACUAGUCGUAUUUUACUCGUAUGUACUCGUAUUCUACUCGUAUGUACUUGUGUUUUACUCGUAUGUUACUCGUAUGUACUCGUGUGUUACUCGUAUGUACUCGUAUGUUACUCGUAUGUACUUGUGUGUUACUCGUAUGUACUCGUAUGUACUCGUGUGUUACUCGUAUGUUACUCGUAUGCACUCGUGUGGUGUUUUAGUCACGAUCCG